rnacentral:misc_RNA from 1 species
GAUGAAGAACGCAGCGAAAUGCGAUAAGUAAUGUGAAUUGCAGAAUUCAGUGUAUCAUCGAAUCUUUGAACGCACAUUGCGCCCGGUAGUAUUCUGCCGGGCAUGCCUGUUCGAGCGUCAUUUCAACCAUCAAGCCCCAGCGCUUGUGUUGGGGGCCUGCGGCUGCCGCAGCCCCCCAAAAGCAGUGGCGGGCUCGCUAUCACACCGAGUGCAGUAGUUCAUCUUCUCUCCGGUCUUGUGAGGCGGGUUCCGGCCGUGAAACACCCCACUACAUUCAAGGUUGACCUCGGAUCAGGUAGGAAUACCCGCUGAACUUAAGCAUAUCAAUAAGCGGAGGA